ACGCUGGCGGCGCGUUUACCACAUGCAAGUCGCACGAGAAAGGGGAGCAAUCCCUGAGUACAGUGGCGUACGGGUGAGUAACACGUGGAUGAUCUACCUUCUAGUGGGGAAUAACCCUGGGAAACCGGGGCUAAUACCGCAUAAGCUCGAGAGAGGAAAGCAGCAAUGCGCUGGAAGAGGAGUCCGCGGCCGAUUAGCUAGUUGGCAGGGUAAAAGCCUACCAAGGCAAAGAUCGGUAGCCGGCCUGAGAGGGCACACGGCCACACUGGCACUGAGACACUGGCCAGACUCCUACGGGAGGCAGCAGUGGGGAAUCUUGCACAAUGGGGGAAACCCUGAUGCAGCGACGCCGCGUGAGCGAUGAAGCCCUUCGGGGUGUAAAGCUCUUUCGGCAGGGAAGAUAAUGACGGUACCUGCA
rnacentral:rRNA from 1 species